CCCAAAGCACAACAGUGAGGAACUGUUCGCGCCCGGCCUCUCCACGCCCGCAGCCGCCAACUCCCGAUUCCUAAACUACUACUCGCUACGUGAACCAGGGGGAAAGACAGCAGAAACAAGUGGCUUCCAGCCAGGCAGCCGAGCAGGAGACCUGGUGGAGCGUUGGUUACCUGCAGCGAGUGCCUGGCCCGGAAGACGCUGGAGGCUGCUGGGCAGCAAGGGGACGCUCCCGCCCGGCGCUGCUCCGCGCUAGGCUGACUGAACUCUUGGCGCCGGAGGACCGCGCGGCCGGGUCUCGGGCCGCCCACCCUCGCGCCCGUGCGCCACGCCCCUGGGCCCGCCCCUCUAGGCCCCGCCCAGCGCAUCCCUGCUUCGCAGACCUCUGCUGCCUGGGCCUUCUGGCCCAAGUCAGCGCGCCCUCUGGGCAUUUCGUUGUCUGGUGGAAGUGCUUGACUGCGUGCUUCCUCUUUCUCCUUCCUUAGGUUGACUUGGGUUCUUAGUUGGUAGAACCGAUUAGGGACUGAGCACUUGAGUGGGGUCUUCAGAAUUUUAUACCCCCUUCCUGGGAGGCAGGAACCGCGGGAAGCGCUGCCUUUUCUUAUUUUAAAAACAGGGUUUACAACCAAAGGAAAAAAAAAAAUUCCGGAGGUCUUUAUAUUGUGUUAAAAUUAGGUAUGACCAUUGGGUUUGUUUGUUUUCCGUGAUGAGAGACGUCUACAGGGUCCUGUGGGUCUCCUGAACACAAGGCCUUUCUGUGUCCCCCAGUUCUUUGAUUAUAGGAAACUGCCUCCAU